rnacentral:lncRNA from 1 species
GGACGGGGGGGCAUGUAAAAGGGCAGAAACAUGAGGCCAGGUAGGGGAGGACAGGCGGGCCGGGCUGGGCACUGUCCAUGAGUUCUCUUGUUUAAUCGUCACAACCACUUUGUGGGAUGUGUGUUCAUCACCCCAUUUUGCCUCGGAGAGGUAGGAUGACUUGCCCAAGGUUGUAGAGGUGCUGUAACGAUUCUGUGUGUUCCAGGUACCGAAGGUGUUAAUCCAGGGAAUUAGAGGCUGAUGCAGCUGCUGGAAGGGUGGAGGAGUGAAGGUCAGGGAGCCAUCGCUGAAGGUCAGCCUGCAGCUUCCAAAAUGGAUGCUUCUCGAGCUCGCCUGGAAGCUGUGUGGAACCUCCAGGAAACUGUGCCAACAGCCCACAGCUGUGAGCAGGUGAGGACAGGCGCUGGCCCGGAAGGGCUGCCAACCUCACAUCUGCCCGUGGGUCUGCCUCCAAACGCCUUGGAGAGGAAUGGCCUCUCCUCUCCUUCGCCUUCCAGAUCUCACGUGAGAGUCUCAUUGGCAGAGCAGUUCGUCAGGACCCUAUGCUGAAGGGGAGACUGGGAACCCCAAUUUCCGGAGAAGACCAUGGAGGAGGGGUUGGUAGGGUGAAUCCACUUGUCUCAUGUUGUCAGAGCCCCCGCCUCUGGUCUCAGCUCGAGGGCCUAGCCCUGAGUCACGCACCACAAACCUUUCUCGAGUCUCCAAGUGCCAAGCCCUUGGCUAAACCCCGAGGACACCGAGAUAAAUGUGCCAUGUCCCUGGGCCUGGAGGAGCUCACCAUGAAAGCGAGAGGCGGGUCCAGACGGGACAGGACGAUGGGCUGGCCAAAUUGCGUCCAGGUGCUCUGGGAAGGAGCACAGGGAAGACAGGUAAUUGAGCCUGAGGGGGUCGGAGAGGGCUUCAUGGAAGAAGAAGUGCUUAAGGGGGCGUUUAAGGACUCAGUAGGACAUAGGAGGCCAAAAAGAGAAGGAGGGAAGUGGAUGCCCAGUCAGGUCCUGAGCAAGCAAGGCAAGCUGGGACCAGCAGGAGCCUGA